rnacentral:rRNA from 1 species
CCCCAGCGCCACAAGUGGUCAUCGCGAUUAUUGGGCCUAAAGCGUUCGUAGCCGGUUUAGUGCAUCUCUUGUGAAAUUGUUCGGCUUAACCGGACAGCGUGCAGGAGACACGGCUAAACUCGAGACCGGGAGGCGUAAGAAGUAUGUCAUGGGGACUGGUAAAAUGGGAUAAUCCAUGAUAGACUACCGAUGGCGAAGGCAUCUUACGAGAACGGAUCUGACGGUGAGGAACGAAAGCCAGGGGAGCGAACCGG